rnacentral:rRNA from 1 species
UACGUAGGGUGCGAGCGUUAAUCGGAAUUACUGGGCGUAAAGCGUGCGCAGGCGGUUAUGCAAGACAGAUGUGAAAUCCCCGGGCUUAACCUGGGAAUGGCAUUUGGGACUGCAAGGCUCGAGUGCGGCAGAGGAGACUGGAAUUCCUGGUGUAGCAGUGAAAUGCGUAGAUAUCAGGAGGAACACCGAUGGCGAAGGCAGGUCUCUGGGCUGACACUGACGCUCAUGCACGAAAGCGUGGGGAGCAAACAGG